rnacentral:rRNA from 1 species
GGAAUAUUGCACAAUGGGCGCAAGCCUGAUGCAGCCAUGCCGCGUGUGUGAAGAAGGCCUUAGGGUUGUAAAGCACUUUCAGCGAGGAGGAAGGCAUCACACUUAAUACGUGUGGUGAUUGACGUUACUCGCAGAAGAAGCACCGGCUAACUCCGUGCCAGCAGCCGCGGUAAUACGGAGGGUGCAAGCGUUAAUCGGAAUUACUGGGCGUAAAGCGCACGCAGGCGGUUUGUUAAGUCAGAUGUGAAAUCCCCGAGCUUAACUUGGGAACUGCAUUUGAAACUGGCAAGCUAGAGUCUUGUAGAGGGGGGUAGAAUUCCAGGUGUAGCGGUGAAAUGCGUAGAGAUCUGGAGGAAUACCGGUGGCGAAGGCGGCCCCCUGGACAAAGACUGACGCUCAGGUGCGAAAGCGUGGGGAGCAAACAGGAUUAGAUACCCCUG